UACAGAGGUGGCAAGCGUUGUUCGGAAUUACUGGGCGUAAAGGGCGCGUAGGCGGUUCACUAAGUCCUGCGUGAAAUCCCCCGGCUCAACCGGGGAACUGCGCGGGAAACUGGCGGGCUUGAGUUCGGGAGAGGGAAGCGGAAUUCCGGGUGUAGCGGUGAAAUGCGUAGAUAUCCGGAGGAACACCGGUGGCGAAGGCGGCUUCCUGGACCGACACUGACGCUGAGGCGCGAAAGCUAGGGGAGCAAAC
rnacentral:rRNA from 1 species